rnacentral:rRNA from 1 species
GACGAACGCUGGCGGCGUGCCUAAUACAUGCAAGUAGAACGCUGAAGAGAGGAGCUUGCUCUUCUUGGAUGAGUUGCGAACGGGUGAGUAACGCGUAGGUAACCUGCCUUGUAGCGGGGGAUAACUAUUGGAAACGAUAGCUAAUACCCCAUAACAAUGGAUGACACAUGUCAUUUAUUUGAAAGGGGCAAUUGCUCCACUACAAGAUGGACCUGCGUUGUAUUAGCUAGUAGGUGAGGUAAAGGCUCACCUAGGCGACGAUCCAUAGCCGACCUGAGAGGGUGAUCGGCCACACUGGGACUGAGACACGGCCCAGACUCCUACGGGAGGCAGCAGUAGGGAAUCUUCGGCAAUGGGGGCAACCCUGACCGAGCAACGCCGCGUGAGUGAAGAAGGUUUUCGGAUCGUAAAGCUCUGUUGUAAGUCAAGAACGGGUGUGAGAGUGGAAAGUUCACACUGUGACGGUAGCUUACCAGAAAGGGACGGCUAACUACGUGCCAGCAGCCGCGGUAAUACGUAGGUCCCGAGCGUUGUCCGGAUUUAUUGGGCGUAAAGCGAGCGCAGGCGGUUUGAUAAGUCUGAAGUUAAAGGCUGUGGCUCAACCAUAGUUCGCUUUGGAAACUGUCAAACUUGAGUGCAGAAGGAGAGAGUGGAAUUCCAUGUGUAGCGGUGAAAUGCGUAGAUAUAUGGAAGAACACCGGUGGCGAAAGCGGCUCUCUGGUCUGUAACUGACGCUGAGGCUCGAAAGCGUGGGGAGCGAACAGGAUUAGAUACCCUGGUAGUCCACGCCGUAAACGAUGAGUGCUAGGUGUUGGAUCCUUUCCGGGAUUCAGUGCCGCAGCUAGUGCAUUAAGCACUCCGCCUGGGGAGUACGACCGCAAGGUUGAAACUCAAAGGAAUUGACGGGGGCCCGCACAAGCGGUGGAGCAUGUGGUUUAAUUCGAAGCAACGCGAAGAACCUUACCAGGUCUUGACAUCCCGAUGCUAUUUCUAGAGAUAGAAAGUUACUUCGGUACAUCGGUGACAGGUGGUGCAUGGUUGUCGUCAGCUCGUGUCGUGAGAUGUUGGGUUAAGUCCCGCAACGAGCGCAACCCCUAUUGUUAGUUGCCAUCAUUCAGUUGGGCACUCUAGCGAGACUGCCGGUAAUAAACCGGAGGAAGGUGGGGAUGACGUCAAAUCAUCAUGCCCCUUAUGACCUGGGCUACACACGUGCUACAAUGGUUGGUACAACGAGUUGCGAGUCGGUGACGGCGAGCUAAUCUCUUAAAGCCAAUCUCAGUUCGGAUUGUAGGCUGCAACUCGCCUACAUGAAGUCGGAAUCGCUAGUAAUCGCGGAUCAGCACGCCGCGGUGAAUACGUUCCCGGGCCU